GCCGAAGUGGCGGAACUGGUAUACGCGUACGGUUUAGGGCCGUAUCCCGAAAGGGUUGGGGGUUCGAGUCCCUUCUUCGGCA
rnacentral:tRNA from 2 species